UAAAUAUAAUAUAAUAUAAUAAAAUAAAUAUAAAAUAUAUAAGUAAUAAGAAAUGAUAUGAAAUGAAUCAUUUAGUAUGUAAGAUAUAAUUGAGGAGAAUAAAAGUUAUAUUAUAAAAAUAUGGAUAAUAGAAAAAAGAAAAGAUUCCAUAGGUGAAAACCAAAAAAAGAACUAAAUGAACUGAAACAUCUAAGUAAUUUAAGGAAAAGAAAUUAACAAAGAUUUAUAGAGUAGUGGUGAGCGAAAUAUAAAAAGUCUAUAAAGUAAUAUGUAAUAAAGAUAAUAUGUAUGAAAAAGGUGAAACUAUCACUAAGACUAAAUAUUAUAAUAUAAACAAAAAUAGUACCGUGAGGGAAAAUUCGAAAUCAGUGAUAUUAUGAGCAUAAUAAAAUAUAAAAAAAUAUAUAAUUAGCACCUCUUGUAUAAUGGGUUAGCAAGUAUAUAUUAAUAGCAAGAAAUAAAAAUCUUAGUGAAAUCAAAAUAUAUAACAAUAAAAAAAAGUUAAAUAUUAUUAUAUUAAUAAUAUAAAAAUUUUAAUAGUUAUUAGUAUAUGACCCGAAAGUCCAUGAUCUUAUCAUUAUUAAGUGUAAUAAUAAACGACUGAACUGGUUAGUGUUGCAAUACUAUCAGAUAAAUGGUGAUAAGUAGUGAAAUAUCAACCAUAUGGACAGUUAGCUGGUUUACCACGAAAUAUAUGUAAGUAUAGCCAUAUAUAUAAAAUAAUUAAAAAGAAAUAAAAAGUAUAGCACUUAACACUGUUUUAUUAUAAUUAAAAAUAAUAAUGAAUUAUAUGGGGGAAUGUAAAAUUUUUAUCAUCGGUGUUUAAUCUCAGAAAUAAUAAUAUAUAAAUAUAUGAGUCAGACAAUUUGUGAUAAGAUAAAUAGUCAAUAGGGAAACAGCCCAACACAAGUAUUAAGGUCCCAAAUAAAAUAAUAAGUGAAUAAAAGAUAAAAAUAAUAUAAUACAAUUAGUUAGUUGGUUUGAUAGUAACUAUCUUUUAAUAAAAGUGUAAUAACUUACUAAUAUAUAUAAAAUAUUAUUAAUAUCAUAAAUUUAACGGGUCUAAAUUAUUUAACCAAUAACUUGUCAUUAAUUAAUAUUAAUUAAUAUUAAUUAAUGGAUAGUGGUACAUUUAAUGAAAUAAUUAAUAAUAUAAAAUAAAAUAAUAAUUAUAAAUAAAAUAAAAAUAAUUAAAUAGAGAAUGCUAACAUGAGUAACGAAAAUAAGGUUAAAUCCUUAUCAUCUAAUACAUAAGGUAUUACUAUUAAAUCGGUCCUUAAGUUAUAUAAGAAUAUAAAUAUAAUAAUAAUAGGUAUAUAAAUUAAAUAAAAAAUGAUUAUAUAAAUUAUGAAAAAAUCAUAAUAUAAUGUAUAUAAUACAGGAAAAUAAAUAAAACCGUAAUGUAAACCGACACAGGUAUGUAUAGUAGAAAAUAUGAAGAUGAAUGAGAGAAUUAUGGUUAAUGAACUAGGCAAAAAUAAUUCUAAAUGUUAGUCAAAACGGAAUAUUAUAUAUUAAUAAUAUAUAAUCACAGAAAUAAAAUAGCACAACUGUUUACUAAAAACACAGCACUAUGCAAAAAUAUUAAUAAUAGUAUAUAGUGUGAACUCUGCUCAAUUGUAGUAAAUAAUAUAUAAUAUGAUUAAGUAUUAUAUUUAAUAGCUAUAAAAUAGCGGUCUUAACGUGAGGAUCAUAAUGUAGCGAAAUUCCUUGUCCGCUAAAUACGGUCCUGCAUGAAUGACGUAAUGAUGCUAUAACUGUAUCAACCAUAAACUCAGUGAAAUUGGAAUCGCGGUGAAGAUACCGUGUACCUAUAGAAUGACAGAAAGACCCUAUGCAACUUUACUAUAUAUAGAAAGAUUGAUAUAUUAAAUAAAAAUUCAGGACUCCGAAAAAUGAAAAUUUUAAUUUAUAAAAUUUUUUCUCGGUUUAACCGGGUAGGAUUAUUAGGUAUUAUAUUAAUAAAAUGAUGAGAAACCUAAAAUUUAUAUUUAUAUAUCUAAACAUUAAUAAUAUUAAUUGAUAAAAUCUUAAUAUAUAAAAUGUGACAAUCUCUAUAUGAUAGUUUGUGUGGGGCGCACAUUUCAGCAAAAGUAUCUGAAUAUGUCCAGAUUAUAUAAAAUUUAAUAAUAUUAAUUUAAUUAAUAAUAAUAUAGUUUAAUACUAUAUAAAUAAUAUAAUAGAUCCAAUAUUUAUAAAUAUUGGAUUAAAUAAUAGAAUAAAAGAUAUGUGAUAUAAUUGAUCUAGAAAUCAAUUAAUAUAAAAAUAUUAAUUAAGUGUAAUAGCAUAAUCACAUAAUAAUUGUAACAUCUACAAAUGAAACAAGUACUUAAGUAUGGUAUAGUGAACAAUUGAUACUAAUUAGAAUAGUACAAUGAUAACGGAUAAAAGUUACGCUAGGGAUAACAGGCUAAUAUGGUGAAAGAGUACAAAUUGUAAACCAUGUUUGGCACCUCGAUGUCGACUCAACCCAUCCUACUGGUGCAGUAGCUAGUAAGGGUUAGACUGUUCGUCUAUUAAAGGGUUACGUGAGUUGGGUUAAAUACGUCAUGAGACAGUAUGGUUCUUAUCAUCUAUAGGUGUAUAUCAAAUUAAAACUUAUAUUUAGUACGAAAGGAUUAAUAUAAAUCAAUCAAUGGUAAAUUUAUUGAUUAUAAUAAUUAAAAAAAAAUUCAUUAUAUUUAUAAUCACAGUAAAGUAGCUAAAUUGAUAAAAGAUAAAAACUGAUAGCAUAUCAAGUUUGAAUCGGUUUUAAAAAAAGAUAUAAAUAAUAAGUUAUAGAUAAUAACUGAAUAUCAAUAUUUAUUGAUAUAAUUAGAUAUAAAUUGUAUAUUAAAUUAUAUAUAUCUAAUAUUAAUAAAACUAAAU
rnacentral:rRNA from 1 species